rnacentral:rRNA from 1 species
CCUACGGGAGGCAGCAGUGGGGAAUAUUGGGCAAUGGGCGCAAGCCUGACCCAGCAACGCCGCGUGAAGGAAGAAGGCCCUAGGGUUGGUAACUUCUUUUUUCAGGGACGAAGCAAGUGACGGUACCUGCUGAAUAAGCCACGGCUAACUACGUGCCAGCAGCCGCGGUAAUACGUAGGUGGCAGGCGUUAUCCGGAUUUACUGGGUGUAAAGGGCGUGUGGGCGGGAAAGCAAGUCAGAUGUGAAAACCAUGGGCUCAAACUGUGGCCUGCAUUUGAAACUGUUUUUCUUGAGUACUGGAGAGGCAGGCGGAAUGCGUGGUGUAGCGGUGAAAUGCAUAGAUAUUAGGAGGAACACCAGUGGCGAAGGCGGUCUGCUGGACAGUAACUGACGCUGAGGCGCGAAAGCGUGGGGAGCAAACAGGAUUAGAUACCCCUGUAGUC